rnacentral:sRNA from 1 species
UAUCUCUCCGUACGGGGAAGGAUGAGAAGCUUCGACUAAGGUUCGAUUCGAGCGAAAGCGAGAAAGCGUUGCCGCAGGCAACGACCCGAAGGGCGAAGCGCGCAGCGCUGAG